UGGUCAUUGGUGGAUCAUCAACAAUAUUCAAUUGAUGAUUAACAAAGUUUGUUUCUGCCUCCAUUACUUUGUUCUUUUGAGACUCCUGGAAUAAAUUAGCCAGAUGCCUCGGCGUACGACAGGUACGCGACCAAUGCCCUUUCAUCCCACACCUAAAACAAACAUCUGGUUUGUUCUUUAUCGGUGCUGCAUUUUCUUUAUUUUUACCCGACCCAGACACUUGCCACUUCUAGUGGCCUGAAUUGUCGCGGUUCUAGAAUUUGUUGUUACGAUGGCCUCAUUUAUUCUUUCGUCCCCAAUGCUUCUUAUUAUAUGUCCAUCUAUUGUCACAUUUAUUCUGCUGGAAUGACGUGCUGUUAAUAUCUGGCAAUGAGGUAGAACCCGUUAGCCGUACUUGAUGGUUUUUCAACAACAAUUCAUUAUUUUUUUCUGCAACAAGGAG
rnacentral:lncRNA from 1 species